AGAAAAGCUUCUAAGCUUCAGGUAACCAGGAACCGUACCCCAAACCGACACAGGUGGUUGGGUAGAGAAUACCAAGGCGCUUGAGAGAACUUGGGUGAAGGAACUAGGCAAAAUGGCACCGUAACUUCGGGAGAAGGUGCGCCGGUGAGGGUGAAGGACUUGCUCCGUAAGCUCAUGCCGGUCGAAGAUACCAGGGCGCUGCGACUGUUUAUUAAAAACACAGCACUCUGCAAACACGAAAGUGGACGUAUAGGGUGUGAUGCCUGCCCGGUGCUGGAAGGUUAAUUGAUGGGGUCAGCCGCAAGGCGAAGCUCUUGAUCGAAGCCCCAGUAAACGGCGGCUGUAACAAUAACGGUCUUAAGGUAGCGAAAUUCCUUGUCGGGUAAGUUCCGACCUGCACGAAUGGAGUAACGACUUCCCCGCUGUCUCAACCAUGAACUCGGCGA
rnacentral:rRNA from 1 species